UUAGAGGUCAUGUUGAUCUCCAAUUCAUAACUCGUUUUUCCCCUUGUGUGUUUAUUCUGACCAGAAAACCACUCAGGUUAUCAACUGUAACAUACUGUCAGUCCCUGAGAUGACCAGACUGGUUCUUCCAGGCAUGGUUGAAAGAGGGACAGGGUUGAUCAUUAAUAUCUCCUCUGAGGUGGCCGUUCACCCACAGCCCUUGUUGUCCCUUUAUUCCGCCACUAAG